rnacentral:rRNA from 1 species
UACGGAGGGUGCAAGCGUUAUCCGGAUUCACUGGGUUUAAAAGGAGCGUAGGUGGCUUUGUAAGUCAGUGGUGAAAUGUCGCGGCUCAACCGCGAAACUGCCAUUGAUACUGCUUAGCUUGAAUCACGUCGAGGUGGAUGGAAUAAUACAUGUAGCGGUGAAAUGCUUAGAUAUGUAUUAGAACACCGAUUGCGAAGGCAGUUCACUAGGCGUGUAUUGACACUGAGGCUCGAAAGCGUGGGGAUCAAACAGG